UCUGGUUGAUCCUACAGUAGUCAUAUGCUUGUUCUCAAGAUUAAGCCAUGCUCGUACGGUGAACACGCGAAUGGUCAUGAAAUCAGUCGAGGUUCCUUAGAUGAUCCAUUCUACUUGGAUAACUGUGGCAAUUCUAGAGCUAAUACAUGCAAACCAACUCCGAUCCGUCAAAGCCGGGAAAGAGCGCUUUUAUUAGUUCAAAAUCAGUCGGGGUCUCGGCCGUCCCUUUUAAUGACUCUGGAUAACUUUGUGCGAUCGCAUGGCCUCGAGCCGGCGAGGCAUCUUUCAAAUGUGCCUUAUCAACUGUCGAUGGUACGUGAUAGCCUACCAUGUUGACAAAGGGUAACGGGGAAUCAGGGUGUGAUUCCGGAGAGGGAGCAUGAGAAACGGAUACCACAUCCAAGAAGGCACCAGGGCGCGCAACUUACCCACUCCCAGCUCGGGGAGGUAGUGACAAAAAAUAGCAAUACGGAACUCUUUUGGAAUGAGUUGCACUUUAAACCCUUUAACGAGGAUCUAUUGGAGGGCAAGUCGGGUGCCAGCAGCCGUGGUAAUUUCAGCUCCAAUAGCGUAUAUUAAAGUCGUUUGCGCUUAAAAAGCUCGUAGUUGCAUUCAGGCAUGGUCGUGCGGUCCGUCUCGCGACGGUCACUGCGCGAAGCCUGAGCGUGCGCGGCUCGUCGCAGGGUCGUCUUCGCAAGACGAACAACUGCGAAAGCAUUUGCCAAGCAUAUUUUCAUUAGUCAAGAACUAGGCAGAGGUUCGAAGACGAUUAAAUACUGUCAUUGUUCUGACCAUAAACGAUGGCAACUAGCGUUGGGCAAGUGUCGCUUCAUCGACUCUGAACCAAACUUUUCGGGUUCCAGGGGAAGUAUGGUUGCAAAAGCUGAAACUUAAAGGAAUUGACGGAAGGUCACCACAGGAGUGGAGCCUGCGGCUUAAUUUGAUUCAACACGGUAAAAACACACCCAGUCCGCACACUGUAAGCAUUGACAGAUUGAUAUCUUUUUCUUUAUUCGGUGGGUGGUGGCGCAUGGCCGUUCUUAGGUGGUGGAGCGAUUUGUCUGAUUAAUUCCGAUAACGGGCGAGUCUCUAGCCUGUUAAGUAGUUCACCGAUUCUUCACGCAUCGGUGCUAACUUCUUAGAGGGACAAGUGGCGUUUAGCCACAAGAGAUUGAAGCAAUAACAGGUCUGGCUGCCUUUAGAAGGAAUCAAGGUGGAUGUGACCAUGCUUUUGAAAACAGUGCGAACCCUUGAAACGUCCUUCAUGAUAGGGAUUGGGGGCUGUUGAAAUUCUUCUUAUCACGAGGAAUUCCCAGUAAUUACGUCGAUGCCCUUCCUACACACCGCCUGUCACUACUACCGAGUGAACGAUUUAGCUUUACAAUUUUUUUCAUUCAUUUCGCAUUUUGUUGAAACCUUUCAAAUAUCGUUGCAAAGCAGAUGAAAAGAAAUGAAACAACUUUAGGCGGUGGGAUCACUCGACUCGCACGUCG
rnacentral:rRNA from 1 species